GCUGGGUGUGGUGUCGUGUGCCUGUAGUCCCAGCUACUCAGGAGGCUGAGGCUGAAGGAUCACUUGAGUCCAGGAGUUCUGGGCUGUAGUGUGCUAUGCCGAUCAGGUGUCCGCACUAAGUUCAGCAUCAAUAUGGUGACCUCCCAGGAGUAGGGGACCACCACGUUGCCUAAGGAGGGAUGAACUGGCCCAGUCAGAAACGGAGCAAGUCAAAACUCCUGUGCUGAUCAGUAGUGGGAUUGCACCCGGGAAUAGCCUCUGUACUCCAGCCUGGGCAACAUAGCGAGACCCUAUGUCUCU
rnacentral:SRP_RNA from 1 species